rnacentral:sRNA from 1 species
UCCUAGCCCCGAUAGUAGUGGAAAUCCUUUUGUGCCGGGGUUCGGCACAAAAGAUUGAAACGGAUAGCGGGAAAUAGC